ACAGCCAGGGAGAAAAAAAAAAGCUAACCUUCUCCCUGACUGUGACUCUCUCCACUGCGAUUGGAUCGCUCACAGCCAGGGAGAAGGAGCCGCCCAUUGAGAAGCAGGGCCGUCUCCUCCCCCUUUGCUGAUGCGGGGGAUGGAAUGCAGG